UACGGAGGGUGCAAGCGUUAUCCGGAUUUACUGGGUUUAAAGGGUGCGUAGGUGGGUAGGUAAGUCAGUGGUGAAAUCUUCGAGCUUAACUCGGAAACUGCCAUUGAUACUAUUUAUCUUGAAUACUUUGGAGGUAAGCGGAAUAUGUCAUGUAGCGGUGAAAUGCUUAGAUAUGACAUAGAACACCAAUUGCGCAGGCAGCUUACUACACAGUAAUUGACACUGAGGCACGAAAGCGUGGGGAUCAAACAGG
rnacentral:rRNA from 1 species